rnacentral:rRNA from 1 species
UGCUGCAUGGCUGUCGUCAGCUCGUGUCGUGAGAUGUUCGGUUAAGUCCGCUAACGAGCGCAACCCUCGCUGUGUGUUAUAUGUGUCACACGGGACUGCCGGUCUUUAAGCCGGAGGAAGUGGGGAUGAUGUCAAGUCAGCAUGGCCUUUAUAUCCUGGGCUACACACACGCUACAAUGGCCAACACAAUAGGUUGCUAAGCCGCGAGGUGGCGCCAAUCCAUAAAGUUGGUCUCAGUUCAGAUUGCAGUCUGCAACUCGACUGCAUGAAGCCGGAGUUGCUAGUAACCGCAGGUCAGCAAUACUGCGGUGAAUACGUUCCCGGGUCUU